rnacentral:rRNA from 1 species
AUUGAACGCUGGCGGCAGGCCUAACACAUGCAAGUCGAGCGGAUGAAGGGAGCUUGCUCCUGGAUUCAGCGGCGGACGGGUGAGUAAUGCCUAGGAAUCUGCCUGGUAGUGGGGGAUAACGUCCGGAAACGGGCGCUAAUACCGCAUACGUCCUGAGGGAGAAAGUGGGGGAUCUUCGGACCUCACGCUAUCAGAUGAGCCUAGGUCGGAUUAGCUAGUUGGUGGGGUAAAGGCCUACCAAGGCGACGAUCCGUAACUGGUCUGAGAGGAUGAUCAGUCACACUGGAACUGAGCCACGGUCCAGACUCCUACGGGAGGCAGCAGUGGGGAAUAUUGGACAAUGGGCGAAAGCCUGAUCCAGCCAUGCCGCGUGUGUGAAGAAGGUCUUCGGAUUGUAAAGCACUUUAAGUUGGGAGGAAGGGCAGCAAGUUAAUACCUUGCUGUUUUGACGUUACCAACAGAAUAAGCACCGGCUAACUUCGUG